rnacentral:lncRNA from 1 species
UCAGGGCAGUAGAACAUAUUUUAAUCAAUGCCCCUUGAUAAAAGAGCUUGAUUCCAGCUACUGCACUUCCUUCAUCAGCUCUCCACUGAUGCCUGGAGCCAUGAAAAUAUUUGUCUUUAUUUUGGCUGCUCUCAUUCUUCUUGCUCAAAUUUUCCAAGCCAGGACAGCAAUUCAUAGAGCACUAAUUAGUAAGAGAAUGGAAGGUCACUGUGAAGCCGAAUGUCUUACCUUUGAAGUAAAGAUUGGGGGCUGUAGAGCUGAAUUAGCACCAUUUUGCUGCAAAAACAGAAAGAAACAUUAAAAACUAAGCACCAGCUGCAAGAAACAAAGAGGUGAAGAUUCUCUGGCUGCGAUAUCAGUGGGAUAAAUCUCUCUGGACCAUCUCUCUU